rnacentral:lncRNA from 1 species
ACGGAUGGGGCCUCGUUCUGAUGUAGAGAUAAGUUCAGCAGCUAUGAAGAGUAUAAAGAGGUUUCAAUUACAUCAGCCCCUUUUGAUUUUCGUCAUUGAUAUUUGCAAUUGUGUAACGAUUUGCUGUUUUUGCAGUGUGAAGAAGAUGACGAAGAUGACGGAGAAAGUGGCGACCGGAAUACUUUCCGGGGUUGUGAAAGUGUCGGGAUUCUUUACAAGUUCGAUAGUGAACUCGAAAGUGGGGAAGAAAUUUUUUAGUCUUCUUCCUGGAGAAAUUGUUCUUGCUUCAUUGGAUGGAUUUAGUAAGUUCUUCAUAUCUGUUCUUACUUGUGACUUGAAUCUUUAUAUGUUUAUACAUAUCAAAUUUAUUUCAAAUAUUGCAUAUACUACACUGUGAUCGCAACAUUAUUUUGUUUUUAAAUUUAGGCUUGUUUGCUACAAUUUUUCUAGUGUAGUUUUCACAUACUGUAAAAUAAUGCUUGAAUUAUUAGUCAAAUUCUGAAAACAGCAAGUUUUUAUGAUUUGUUUUUAGUUUUCUAGUUUUUGAGAUUUACGUUUGUUUCCCGCCCAUUUCUUAAACAAAGACUGGGAACUCCUACUAAAUUUUAAAAAAGAAAACUAGUUUUUUUUUUUUUUUGCCAAAGUUACUAUUUUAGGAGUCAUUUGGUAACCGUUUGGUUUUUUUGUUUUUGAAAAUUUAGCCAACAUUAAUUCCAUUUCCAAAUUUCUUUCUUUCUACCCACAGUUUAAAACCAAGCCAGAUUUUGAAAACUAAAACAUUAACUCUUAGAAAAAACUUGUUUUUCUGUUUGCUUGCUUCAAAUUUUGGCCUAGUUUUCUAUUGUAUUAUUAGAAAGUGGAUGACAAAACUUGGAUAAUUUUGUCUAGAACUAGUAUUUAUAAGCUUAAUUUUCAAAAAUUUAAAACCAAAAACUAAGGCUUGAUAACUAUUGUAUUGGUUUUGUUUUGUUUUUUUUUUAUCUUUUUAUGAACACCUGAAUUCUCAGCCAAACUUUAAAAUAAAAACAAACUUUUUUAUGAACUACAGCCUGGUUACUUCUUUUUUGAAGUACAAUAAAUCAAUGUAUCCCAGUUCAAUUUUCAAAAUAAAAAAUCAAAUAGAUCUAGUCUAAAUGGUUUAAUGGCCUGCUCUCUCUCUUUUCUAAAAUUUAAGCUUAGUUUUUAGAAUCAUGAGUAGAAAGUGGAUGACAAAAUACGGAAAUUUGGAAGUAGUGUUUAUAUCCUUAAUUUUAAAAAGAACAAGGAUUAGUCAUUUGGUAUAUUAAUAAUGCAGCUGCAGAUGUCAAUUAUAAUUGCUUGUGAUAGAUGUGUCAUUUAAAUGUAAAACUCUCCAGAAUUGUUUCACCAACUAUCACCGGCCUUAAAUGUCAUUGCAAAAACAUGAAACAGCUGAUGCUUUACUGUGUGAAGUUGGUUUGGUUCAAUGCUCGAGUUUAAUGAUCCAAAAGUAGAGAACCUAGCAUCUUCUAUCUCUCGUUCCUUGCUUUUGCAUUUUGAUUAAUCUUAAUGAAGUGUCUGAAAACAUACAUCACUGAAAGUGGUAUACUCAUGUCUCUCAUGUAUGAAUUCUGUAUG